rnacentral:rRNA from 1 species
AACGUAGGAGACAAACGUUAUCCGGAGUUACUGGGCGUAAAGGGCGUGCAGGUGGCUGUUUAAGUUCGGCGUGAAAGCCUCCGGCUAAACCGGGGGAGGUCGUCGGAAACUGGACAGCUCGAGGGUGAUAGAGGCGGGUGGAAUUCCGGGUGUAGUGGUGAAAUGCGUAGAGAUCCGGAGGAACACCAGUGGCGAAGGCGACCCGCUGGGUCACACCUGACACUGAGACGCGACAGCAUGGGGAGCGAACGGGAUUAGAAACCCCCGUAGUCC